AUUCAAAUUGUUCUACAUUUUAAAAUUUAAUAUCAGGAUAAGUGGGUGCAAGUAACCUUUCACCCUCCAAUCGAUACAAAGGAUGUUCUCACUUUACAUAAAUGCCUCUGCGUAGUCGGUAGUUCCAUCUGAACAAAUUUGUUUUUGGCUUCUGACUAAGCAUACAAAGAGGCCAGGGUAAGUACAUUGGGUUGCUAUCAAGCAUGAUAUGACAGAUGUCAUAUCUAAAAAUAAUGGUAAAGAAAACAAAGCUCUAAACUGAUUGCUUUCCCUUUCUAAAAUACAAGUAAGGCAGUUUUGACAUUAUUCAACUCAGGUCAUCAAAUUCAUAUAAUUAUACACCAAUGUAACGCAUACAUCUUAGAAGAAUGAAAAGUACAGAAAGAUGAGUGUGAAUGUAAAUUUACUCAUCUUUUAUAAAAUGCUUUCUUGAGGUGCUGACAUUUUCAGUACAUUGAUUGUUCAUAAUGAAUACUCUUGCAUAAAAUAUUUCAAAGGUAAUUUUCUGAGGCCAGAAAAUGACUAAAAAGUUAUUCACUAAAGAGCAGUCAAUAAUCUGUGUCCGGAAGCAGAUUUAUGGGAUGUGAAAUAAAUUGAUGUAACAGAGGUUGCUUAUACAAAAGAAUUACCUGCCCUUUUACAGAUUUGAUGUCCUAAAACAGAAGCCUCAAAAGUGAUGUGGGCCAAUUCAGAGGCAGUCAUUCUGUACUAUGUAGUCCUGGGCCACUGGAGGAAAAGAAGAAAAUGGCUUUGGGCAAAGUCUCCUUACUUGUAGCAGAAGUCCAAGAGGUAGUCAUCUCUGCAGCAUUUUUCACCGGGUGGCUCAGAAAUAGUGGAGCAAGCCUUUGGAGUUUGGGGUGUGGUGGUCCUUGCUGAAAGGUGGUUUCCUGGUAACCUGCACCCAAGAGUGCACCUCUGUGCUGUGCAGCCUCACCUCCAGCACCAGGUGCGGAUCUGGGUGCUGCAGUAAAAAAAAGAAAAGAAGAAGAAAAAAGGGCUUAAAGCUGUUUUAGAGUCCAAAGGAGGGCUACAAAGAUUGAGAAGGGUCUGGAGGGCAAGAAGUGUGAGGAGCAACUGAGGCCCCUGGGUUUGCUCAGAGCAGAGGAGUUGUGGAGAGGCCUCAAGGCGGCUGCAGCUCCUCACAGGGAGCGGAGGGCAGCGCUGAGCUCUGAUCUUGUGUGACAGCAACAGGGCCCGGGGGAACGGCAUGGAGUUGUGUUAGGGGGACAGGGAAAGGCUCUGCCCCAGAGGGCGGUGGGCACGGCCCCAGUACUGGAGUUCAAGGAGUGUUGGGACACUGCUCUCAGCCACAGGGUUUGGAUUUGGGGUAGAGCUGUGU
rnacentral:lncRNA from 1 species